UACGUAGGGUGCAAGCGUUACUCGGAAUUAUUGGGCGUAAAGCGCAUGUAGGCGGUUUUGUAAGUCUGAUGUGAAAUCCCUGGACUCAAUUCAGGAACUGCAUUGGAUACUGCAAGACUAGAGUAUGAGAGAGGUAGGCGGAAUUCCUGGUGUAGAGGUGAAAUUCGUAGAUAUCAGGAGGAACAACAGAGGCGAAGGCGGCUUACUGGAUCAUAACUGACGCUGAGAUGCGACAGUGUGGGGAGCAAACAGG
rnacentral:rRNA from 1 species